ensembl:lncRNA
CUUAGGGAAGCACUGCGGUCAGCCAGAAGUUCUUGGACAGACGGUGGGAGUUAAGUGCAUGAAAUCCAACACUCCGUGUCAUAUACCAGAGGAAUUUGUUGCUAAUCGAGCCUAUCUGCAGCAUGGGAACCAACGAGUGAGGGCUGAAACCAAGGCUGUCAGACUCACUUCACUUACUGGUUAUGAAAUGGGACAAAACAGACCCAGAGUCACACGGAAACAUGAGCACGGCGGUGACACGGCCUUCCAUGCACAGCGUCAGCACUAAAAACAGCAUAUAGAUGGUUUGGGAAGUUAUAAACACCGACCUCAUGAUUCUAUUCUGGGUUGGUCCUAUGACAAAAAGGGGAAAAAAAUAACCAAAUGAAAACAGUGACAACAAAAACCCAACGGAAGAGCCCAAAGCAAUGGGCAGCACUGCUCAGGGCCCACUGUGCUGGCUGUGGGAUGGAGCUGGGGCCACUGACUGACAGCAGCACAGCUGCAGCUCCAGCAGCACAGCACUUCAG